rnacentral:rRNA from 1 species
CCUACGGGGGGCUGCAGUGAGGAAUAUUGGUCAAUGGGCGGGAGCCUGAACCAGCCAAGUCGCGUGAGGGAUGACGGCCCUAUGGGUUGUAAACCUCUUUUGCCGGGGAGCAAAGUGUCGCACGUGUGCGGUUUGGAGAGUACCCGGAGAAAAAGCAUCGGCUAACUUCGUGCCAGCAGCCGCGGUAAUACGGGGGAUGCGAUCGUUAUCCGGAUCUAUUGGGUUUAAGGGGUGCGUCGCCGGACGCUUAAGUUAGCGGUAAAAUUGCGGGGCUCAACCUCGACGAGCCGUUGAUACUGGGUGCCUUGAGUGGGCGAGAGGGACGCAGAAUGCGUGGUGUAGCGGUGAAAUGCAUAGAUAUCACGAAGAACUCCGGUUGCGAAGGCAGCGUACCGGCGCCCAACUGACGCUGAAGCGCGAAGGCGUGGGUAGCGAACAGGAUUAGAUACCCGAGUAGUC